rnacentral:tRNA from 1 species
AUUAAGGUGGCAGAGUGGUAAUUGCAUAAAACUUAAGCCUUUACAAUCAGAGGUUCAAUCCCUCUCCUUAAUA